CUAAUGCCCAACCAGUUUGAGGGACCAACAAACUGCCUUUCAGUCUCAGAUGGUGCAACCACCUGAGACAAGGAUGGAGCGCUGGUUGCGCAUGUGCCACCUGGUGGACCAAAGAUGACCAAGACGAGGAAGUGCCACCGAUGAGGAUGAACUACCAUCAUUGUGAGGAAGGACAUCUGGAUAUUUCAGAAUUUAUCAGAAAAGAAAGUCCCCCCUCCACUUCCAAGGAAACUACACAAACCAGAGGAACCAUCUGCAGUUCCCACAAGGGAGGAAGGGCAGUUCAAUGGAGGACCGUCUGCAGCAUGAAUUCCUCCCCAUCCUUUAAGGUCAGCUCCCAGCAGGCAGACAUCACACCUUCCUGGAGACGGCCAGUCUAUUUUACCCCUUGUGUAGGGCCCUCACCACUUCUGCUGGGUAUUCGAAUAAUUAAUGGACAAUUCUCACUGUCCCGUUUCAGGAGUGAGCUCUUUGAGGGUAGGAGUGUGGACCAGGGAUGUAGCAGGUGCUCAACAAAUUUUUAAUUAAAAAAAAGAAACAAAGUCUUACUGAUUCUUUACACUGCAAUGGCAGGAGGAGCAAAAUGUAAGCUAGAGGUUGGACUAUGGAUACGACAUUUUC
rnacentral:lncRNA from 1 species